AUCUCCGAGAGAUCGGGCAAACUCCCGCUAGUUAUCGACUUGAUAGACGUGACUGUAAUUUUGUGGUCACCGAAGGCGCUGCUAAACAUGACAGACACCAGCAUAUAGGUGAAAUAACGCGUCAGUCGCAUCUCCUUUUUCACUCUGCCGAGAGAUCUGAUUAAACCUGAGGGAAGAAAAUGGAAAAAAUAAAAUAAAAAGGAAGAUAUGUAAAAUCGUUUUGAGUCAACCACGUAAUGAGCAGAAACUCACUAAUCCGGCUCUGCGUGGAGACAUAAUUUUCCCACCAGCCGCAGGAGACGAGAAGUAGUGCAACAGGAAUCAG